GCCGGGUCGGGCGUGGGGGUGGUGAGAGAGGAGAGAGUGAGCAAGGAUUAGAGAGGUUGGCGUGUGUGGUGGGCGGCGGUCGGGGUUGAGAGGCCGUUGGGCGGAGGGGGGCGGUGGGUGGAGGCCACUGCGCGGCGUGGGUCGUGAAGGGUGGAGGCCGCUGCGCGGUGCUGGUGGCGUGGGAAGGAGGAGGGAGCACGGCGCGCGACGGGACUUGGGACGGAGGAGGGAGCGUGGUGGGGGUGACGGGGGGCUCGCACAGGCAGGGAGGUGCCUAGGUUCGAGCGCGCGGUGGCGGGGAGGGGGGUGCGGCUCGAGCGUGCGGUGGCGGCGGCCGUGGGGGUUGACCGGCGGGGAGCAGUCAAACACGCAAGGUAGGUGUGGUUUUAGCGGCAGGGGUCGAAGGGCACCUAGGGACGCGCGGCGGCGGGUGGUCUUCCUACGAGAGCACGAGGGGCUACGGCGAAAGAAAUUCGUAAGUACGCGAGGUUUUCAGUUGUGCUGUGUCGACGAAGGAAGCCGUUGUGGAGGAUGGCCGCGGCCGCUAAGACUCCAAUGGAGCAAUCAUCAAGUUGAAACGAUUUAGGACAUCAAUUGGUAACGAUUUUUAGUAGAAUCUUUAAUAGAGCAAAUUUAUCAAGUGGAAAAGAUUUUUGACAUCAAGAGACCAAUCUUUUUGUUAUCAAUAGAGACGUUUUUUCAUACUGUUAGAAAACCAUUUCAGAGUUAAAGAAGAGUCAAAAUCACAUGCGAGCGACCGCUACGCAGGUCGUACGAACGCCACUAUCGCGGUAUCACCGGUGGUGAUUACAGUAACCGCCGGUCGUACGAACGUGUUUUUUAUCGAUCGAUCCACAUGUCCUAGCAGAUAAAAUAGGGGACUUUGUCCCACGAGUCCUGCAGAUAAAAUAAAAGACUUUGUGAUCGAUCCACAAGGGUCAAGUCAUGUACCUGAUGGUAGUCGAGAUCAACGACGAAGGACGGUGGUUGCUUAACGCGUUCAAGUUUCUCACAGCGUACUGUUUAAGUUUUUCACAACAUACCGUUCAAGUCUUAAAACCAAAGCACUCUUCACACUAAAAACCUGUUAUAAAACACGUUAAGUAAACAAGUAGAAGUCUUGAACCUCUACACUUCAGAUGAAAAAAGAUACUGCUUCCAUGUGUACUCGAGGUAGAGGUUACCAAUAGGCGGGAUCACGAAGUUUCUACGAAUAAAACAAAAGGGGCACUGCGUCGCUCCUACUAUCACUGCUGUGAACGUUUUAACAAAAGACACAACGAUACAACGGUCAGGUUUCACACCACUUCUACAUCAGGACCCACACAUCUACUACACCACACACAGACCAACACACACACACGUACUACUAACCACCGACAACACACACACACGUCCCAUGCAGGCCGCUGUCGCCCAUCCGCCGUUCACAUGACCACUCGUCGAUGACUUGACUAAGACUGUGACGUUGUAAUUAGGUGAGACGGAGGAGGCUGCUCAAGAAGUGAGGUUCAAGAGGGUACUCCAGCAGAGACCAAACUCUUUCUAGUAAGUUGAAGGUUAGAUAAACCUGACUAUCAAGUUGAAGAAGACAUGUCUUCCAAGUCCUGGGUUGGGUUGGUCGCAGCGGUACCGUACCGCGGAUGACCGCUUCCUGGUGGUGGAUGGGCUGCUGCACGGGUUUGGGCGGCUGCUCCGGACGGUGGGGUUUGGAGGAGGAAGGAGGAGCGUAGCCCUACUCGUUCUAGGUCGGCUGCGGACUUCGGGUAGGGUGGUAACAUGGAGGGGGAAGGGGAGCGACGUGACUGGCCACACGGUGUCGCGGCGGCGGUUCACGCGCAUACCUUCCGGCUCUUCAAGAUAACGAGCAUAUGCGGUUCAAGUCUCUUCAACGGCGGUUGCCGCGGCCUCGUUGCCCAUGAUAUUCAUAAUCUGCCGUUCACAUAACUCCACUCGUCGUUCUGCUCCGCACUUCGUACGGUAGUACACAUACGCCGCUCGACGAUGUUGUGAUCACGCCGAUGACAGUGUCUACUUGAACCGACCAGCUUCGACGAACAUGAUUUGUACACACAGACACAAUAGAAACCAUCAGUUACUACGUCUGAUUUGUACACACGUACACAAUAGUAUCCGUCAGUUACGAACAUCGACGAACCCCCCUGCGUUUGUCAUGUACAAUUAAUCAGAACCAAACACCAAUCUGUACGUUUGUCAUGUACACACAUGACAACGAGAACGAAUAAUUUCGGACGUAGCUAUCAAUUAGAACUUGACCUACACAAUAAGAUACAAUCCACUUACUUCGGAGCCCCGGUCGUCGGUGGACGCGAUGUCUUAUGUUCACAAAUGUCAAACGAGUGAUCUUACAACUUACUCUGGUGUAGUAAUAAUGAGUUUUUUGAGUUAAACAUAAACAAGUCUUAACAAGAGACAUAGGC
rnacentral:rRNA from 1 species